UGGGGUGUGGCUCAGCGGUAAAGUGCUUGCCUCCCACGUGUGAGGCACUGGGUUCAAUCCUCAGCCCCUCAU
rfam:Ictidomys tridecemlineatus contig000468, whole genome shotgun sequence.